CAUUUUCGUAGUUACCAAGUUCCCUCAGAUGAAGGAAGGGAGAACCCUAAUCUGAAGAGGGGAGGUCUGAAGUGGACAGGAACAGUAUCAAGGAGACCACAGGAGGCAAAACAUUAAAAGUUGAAGAAACAGCAUAAAUAACAGAAGACUGAAACUAAGCUGAUUGGAUCAAGGACAGACACCUGACCAAGGACAGUCACGCUGUGCUUUAUGUCCCGGCAGAAAAAGGCUCUGAUUUGUAUCCUAAAGGAGUAGUCCAACGGGUGAGUAAAAAU
rnacentral:lncRNA from 1 species